GCCAAGGUGAGUUGUUAUGGAAAGUAGGUCUAGGGUUUUGGGUUUUUACCUUAGAACUUGGAGUUUUGAUCCUCUAGCAAGGCUAGGAUCAUUGUAGAGGCCAUGAACACAUGAAAUCCAUGUGUUUCUCAAGAACUCUCAUGGUGAACUCCUUCGGAUCAUGUUUGAUGCCCUAGGGAUGUUUGGAAUGGCUUAGUAAUUGUAUUAGAAUGCUUUCUCAAUGAUUCUAAGGUAGUAUUUGCUCAGAGUUGAGAUCGAUCUAGGAGAAAUUC
rnacentral:lncRNA from 1 species